CGCAUUCAAUGAAACCUUGUGUUGUGAUUCAGGUUACUGCUCACUUCCUCCUUUUUGUUCAGGCAGAGAUCCCAGCUCAAGAAUGAACUUCAAGUAGGGCUUUUCAGUUAAAACUUCUGGAAAUAUCCUCAAAGACACACCCAGAGAUUUACUUAAUCAAGUUGGUAAGGAAAGUUAACCACAUCCAAAGAGAAGCUUCAUGCCUGUAGGAUGUCUGUGUGUGUGUGUGUUGCCACAGCACUUGUGUGGAGGUGGGUCUGACUCCUGACACAGCACAUGUGUGAGUUUCUGUCUGAUUCUCCUGUCUCCACUUUGCAGCUCAUUUUAAGAGUGCUGGAAUUGCAGACAUGAGUCACUGCAGCUGGCUUUUAAGGUUGGUUCUUAGGAUUCAGCUCAGUUGCCAUGUUACCAAGCUCCCCUUUCCUCCCUUCUCUUCCUAUAACAUGUGACUUGGUAUACUGUUUAAGCACUCCUCUGCAACGUAACUGGAAUGGAAAUGAUGUGACCUCAGAGCGUGGAUGAAAGAAAAAAAAUCCAUCCAAAUCUAGUUUUUUGGGAUUUCUUACAGAAGCAUGGAUGAAGAGGUUUCCAGCACUGAGUUGUCUCUGCCUCCCAAUGCAGAAACUAUAUCAGCCAGCUCUCUGCUCUGGCCAACUGCUGCCAUGCAUUCCACCGCUGUGGACUCUGGAACCAUAAGCUAAAAUAAACUCUUGGACAUUGGUAUGGACA
rnacentral:lncRNA from 1 species